rnacentral:lncRNA from 1 species
GUGUAAUUAUUUUCAUUAGAGAAGGGAAGGAGGAAUAGAAAAAAGAAAAACCGGUAGAUAAGUAAUCCAGCCAAGAAGUGAUGUUCGCGAGCGACUUCUGACAAGUCAAUGUUAUAUACUAAAUAGUCUAUAUUCAUAUUGUGUAAUGUAUUACUUAUAGUUAUUAGUAUUCCCCUUCGAUGGAGAGGGAGCCGAGGCCGAUUAAUAAUUCGCUUCAGAGACGUAAUCACAAAACCAAGAAGGGAGUUCUUGGUUCUUGUACUUCACAGCUUAUAUUAUAUCUUACACUUUGGAGAUAAACCACUCAUGUUUCUACCUAUCAUUAUACCGUGAGGACGUUCUAAUGAGCCAAACUGAGGGGCUCAGUCUUUCGUUAAAGUUUCUCUAGACUACUUCCUCUACCAUCCUAAGGAUCGGGAUCUUUCCAGGACUUGUUUGUAAAAAUAUAGGACGUCCCUAGUCUGUACCUCAACUAUUUUUGACUUGUGUGUGUGAAUGGGUUCUUCUAAAUUACUUUUAGACUUGCAUGGUCCAUACCAUCGCUAAUACCAAGCCGUUCGAAACUUCUCCUUGCGAUUAAUGAAGGGUCCUUCUCUUCACGACCAAUACUAACACUCGAAGCUUGCAUUAUCCUUUUGUUUGAAAUGACUUCUAAGGUAAUGAAUGCAGGGAUCGAAGGACUAAGAUAAUUACUUUUGAAAUAUCGUCCAGAGAACAUCCUCCGUGUUCUAUGGGAUAGAAAGAAGCUAUUCAACGCGGGAUUCCCGUCUGAUAUAUAAUGGUCUGCAGAAGUAAUCCUUGCUAAGGAACUCACUCCCAACUAAUCAGUCAAGGAUUAUAAUUAAGUGGUUUGUUUGAACCUAGUCAAAGGAGAAAAUUCUCAAUGGUUUCAGAUGGACACAUACAGAUCUAUUCAGCAAAUUGAAAUCUAAUCCGUUGUAAAACUUUUGUUAUCAUUUUAAUUGCCCCAAAAUAAUCAGAACUUCUGAGUCGUUUUAACCACGAGAGAUUCAGCACCUUCCGCAUACCUUUUAUGUGCGUAGAACCACUGCAGCUAAAAACUUCAAUCCAUAUAAGUGAUAAAUACUUAACAAAUUAUUACUCGCUAAGACCAUCACUUGUCUUAAGAUAGUCGUCACAGUUGGUUAAGAUCGAAGUCUUCUCGAUGUCGAUGGAGAGAUCCGAUUUUUUUAGAAAAUCCUGAAUGACUUCAACGGUGGGAGAUGGAAUAUGCCAGUUUUUCUUGCGUUCCCGUUAGAAAUAAGACCUUCAAAGCUGGAGUUGUAGUUGAUAAUCUCGUUCAAUCCAUUCAUCGUGAUUAAAAAUAAGGAUGGUGAUAGCAAAUCUCCUUGCUGUGCUCCACGCUGAAUACAAAACUUAGCAGUAAUACCGGGAAUGUCGACGGUAUAUAAUGAGUUUUCUUAUGAUGGCCGAGACCAUGUUAACAAUCCCAUUUUGCAAUACUUACCUAUAUAGUUGAUCGAUAAUGAACUUGUGUGAGAGAGUAUCUAAUGCCUUUUUCGAAGUCCACAAAAAUUGUAACGUACUUGGAUGAUUCAUAUAAGUAUAUAACAUCUAGUA